AUUGAACGCUGGCGGCAGGCUUAACACAUGCAAGUCGAGCGAGCGGCGGACGGGUGAGUAAUGUAUGGGAAACUGCCUGAUGGAGGGGGAUAACUACUGGAAACGGUAGCUAAUACCGCAUACCAUCGGAUGUGCCCAAAUGGGAUUAGCGAGUGGGUGGGGUAAUGGCUCACCAAGGCGACGAUCCCUAGCUGGUCUGAGAGGAUGACCAGCCACACUGGAACUGAGACACGGCCCAGACUCCUACGGGAGGCAGCAGUGGGGAAUAUUGCGCAAUGGGCGCAAGCCUGAUGCAGCCAUGCCGCGUGGGUGAAGAAGGCCUUCGGGUUGUAAAGCACUUUCAGCGAGGAGGCGUUACUCGCAGAAGAAGCACCGGCUAACUCCGUGCCAGCAGCCGCGGUAAUUC
rnacentral:rRNA from 1 species